rnacentral:rRNA from 1 species
AUCAUGGCUCAGGAUGAACGCUGGCGGCGUGCCUAAUACAUGCAAGUCGAACGAGUUCUCGUUGAUGAUCGGUGCUUGCACCGAGAUUCAACAUGGAACGAGUGGCGGACGGGUGAGUAACACGUGGGUAACCUGCCCUUAAGUGGGGGAUAACAUUUGGAAACAGAUGCUAAUACCGCAUAGAUCCAAGAACCGCAUGGUUCUUGGCUGAAAGAUGGCGUAAGCUAUCGCUUUUGGAUGGACCCGCGGCGUAUUAGCUAGUUGGUGAGGUAAUGGCUCACCAAGGCGAUGAUACGUAGCCGAACUGAGAGGUUGAUCGGCCACAUUGGGACUGAGACACGGCCCAAACUCCUACGGGAGGCAGCAGUAGGGAAUCUUCCACAAUGGACGCAAGUCUGAUGGAGCAACGCCGCGUGAGUGAAGAAGGCUUUCGGGUCGUAAAACUCUGUUGUUGGAGAAGAAUGGUCGGCAGAGUAACUGUUGUCGGCGUGACGGUAUCCAACCAGAAAGCCACGGCUAACUACGUGCCAGCAGCCGCGGUAAUACGUAGGUGGCAAGCGUUAUCCGGAUUUAUUGGGCGUAAAGCGAGCGCAGGCGGUUUUUUAAGUCUGAUGUGAAAGCCCUCGGCUUAACCGAGGAAGCGCAUCGGAAACUGGGAAACUUGAGUGCAGAAGAGGACAGUGGAACUCCAUGUGUAGCGGUGAAAU